UACGGAGGGGGGCUAGCGUUGUUCGGAAUUACUGGGCGUAAAGCGCACGUAGGCGGCUUUGUAAGUUAGAGGUGAAAGCCCCAGGGCUUAACCCUGGAAUUGCCUUUAAGACUGCAUCGCUCGAAUUGUGGAGAGGUGAGUGGAAUUCCGAGUGUAGAGGUGAAAUUCGUAGAUAUUCGGAAGAACACCAGUGGCGAAGGCGACUCACUGGACACGUAUUGACGCUGAGGUGCGAAAGCGUGGGGAGCAAACAGG
rnacentral:rRNA from 1 species